UCAAACUUGGUCAUUUAGAGGAAGUAAAAGUCGUAACAAGGUUUCCGUAGGUGAACCUGCGGAAGGAUCAUUACUGAGUUUGAAAUUGUUAAAGAUUUCAUCUCCCACCCUUUGUUUAUAAGACCUGUUGCUUCGGCGAGAUUGAUGAUUUUAUAAUCAUCGGUUGAUUGAUAUACAUCAAUGAACUUUGCUUGCCGAAGUUUUUUAACAACUCUUUUUUUUGAAUAUUCGAGUUUUAAACAAACAAACAAAAUUAAAACUUUCAACAACGGAUCUCUUGGUUCUGGCAUCGAUGAAGAACGCAGC
rnacentral:misc_RNA from 1 species